UACGAAGGGGGCUAGCGUUGUUCGGAAUCACUGGGCGUAAAGGGCGCGUAGGCGGCCGAUCAAGUCGGGGGUGAAAGCCUGUGGCUCAACCACAGAAUUGCCUUCGAUACUGUUUGGCUUGAGACCGGAAGAGGUAAGUGGAACUGCGAGUGUAGAGGUGAAAUUCGUAGAUAUUCGCAAGAACACCAGUGGCGAAGGCGGCUUACUGGUCCGGUUCUGACGCUGAGGCGGCGAAAG
rnacentral:rRNA from 1 species